AUUUACGGACAAUAUUAUAUCAUAUCAUGUCGUGCAGUAAAUCUUUGAAGGCUACAGAUCUCCAUUCGUCCUGGAAAGUCGAGUUUGACUGGAAGGAUUUUCCGGAAGAACUUGUUCAGGGAUGUUGUGCUGUUGCAUCUGUUUUGUGCGUGCCAACGGUGGCUGUUUUAUAUAGCCUUAUCACGGUCGCGGCUUUUGCUGUAAGCCAUGCACAAGUCUCUCCACCUGACACCAAAUGGAGGGAAAAUGUUCUUCUGUGGACAGCCAUCUGUCUGCCAACAGGCGCUGGGAAAUCUACUAUCUGUAAAUGCGU